UACGGAGGGGGCUAGCGUUGUUCGGAAUUACUGGGCGUAAAGCGCACGUAGGCGGCUUUGCAAGUUAGAGGUGAAAGCCCAGGGCUUAACCCUGGAAUUGCCUUUAAAACUGCAUCGCUAGAAUUGUGGGGAGGUAAGUGGAAUUCCGAGUGUAGAGGUGAAAUUCGUAGAUAUUCGGAAGAACACCAGUGGCGAAGGCGACUUACUGGACACAUAUUGACGCUGAGGUGCGAAAGCGUGGGGAGCAAACAGG
rnacentral:rRNA from 1 species